rnacentral:lncRNA from 1 species
CUUGAAUAUUAUUAUAGAUAGAGAUAAACUGUAAACAGCAAUAAUGUUCAGUAAAGUAAGAUCUACAAAUAAGUCAACAUGACCAAAAUGGUCAGUUGACCCGUUUAGGAGUUAUUGCCCUUUAUAGUCAAUUUUUAACCAUUUUUCGUUAAUUAAAGUAAUCUUUUACAAAAAUCUUCUCCUCUGAAACUACUGGGCAAAUUAAUCCAAACUUGGCCACAAUCAUCUUUGGGGUAUCUAGUUUAAAAAAUGUGUGGCGUGACCUGGUCAACCAACCAAGAUGGCCGCCACGGCUAAAAAUAGAACAAAGGGGUAAAAUGCAGUUUUUGGCUUAUAACUCAAAAACCAAAGCAUUUUGAGGAAAUCUGACAUGGGGAUAAAAAUGUUUAUCAGGUCAAGAUCUAUCUGCCCUAAAAUUUUCAGAUGAAUCGGUCAAUCGGUUGUUGGGUUGCUGCCCCUGAAUUGGUAAUUUUGAGGAAAUUUUGCUGUUUUUGGUUAUUAUCUUGAAUAUUAUUAUAGAUAGAGAUAAACUGUAAACAUCAAUAAUGUUCAGCAAAGUAAGAUCUACAAAUAAGUCAACAUGACCAAAAUGGUCAGUUGACCCGUUUAGGAGUUAUUGCCCUUUAUAGUCAUUUUUUAACCAUUUUUCGUAAAUUAAAGUAAUCUUUUACAAAAAUCUUCUCCUCUGAAACUACUGGGCCAAAUUAAUCCAAACUUGGCCACAAUCAUCUUUGGGGUAUCUAGUUUAAAAAAUGUGUGGCGUGACCUGGUCAACCAACCAAGAUGG